rnacentral:lncRNA from 1 species
CGCCCCUCCACGCUUCUGCCUUGACCCUCACCACGCCCGCCAACCCGCCCCGCCUCCCCUUCAACGCGCCACUCCCUCCCCCACCACUCCGUGCCACGCCCGCUCUCCACGCCCUGCCCCCGUGGGAAUGUGCAAUGGGGCGGGCAGCGCGCCUUGAGGCUGGCGCCCUGGUAGGGGUGGGCUGACCAGCCUGAUGGGGGCUGAGACUGCCUGGAACCCAAACGGAAGCUCCCUGGCCUAUGUUUGAAACCGUGAAUUCACCGGCUAGAAUGGAAAUGCCAGGUACCUGGGAACCUGGAAGUUGCCUUUUCAAUGCUGCCUUUCCCGUUCUCCCCUCCAUCCCUCUGGCUGCAACGAUCCUCCCUCUGGAACCCCUGGUCAGGCUCACUUCAGAGUGCCCCUUGGACCCUGCCUGGCUGAACCAUCCACACCUUGGUCAGGCAUCUUGGAAGGACUGCCCCAGCCGUGUUAUAAAAGGAGAAAACGUCACAGUGGGCAGCCCCAUUCCUGCGUUAUCCAGACAGGAAACUCAGGUGCUCAGUUUCUCUGAUAAUUCCGAGUUCUACAUUACUACCUGCCUCUCAGAUGAGUGCUGGCAGCCCCAGUUCUGUACAGGGAGGAUGCAAAACGGCAGAAUAUCUGUGGUGCAACUUUCUGGAGCAUCAGUUUACUACAAGAUUUGGAAGAAUAAGUUAAGUAAUUUCCAAGGUGCUGGAGAUAGUCCUGAACAGCACAGCUUAGGGUCCUGUGCCAUGAAGGAGCCUACACACUAGUCCUGGGAGAUGAGACAAGCAACAAGCAAGUAAAUCCUGGAAAGAUCAAGGUCACUUCAGAUGGUGAUGAAGCAGAGUCAUGUGAUUGAGAGAGCCCACAGGUCUGGGUGGGCCAUGGUCACCCUGGUUUAGAUUGGCUGGUCGGGAACUAUGUGUUAGAUCUGUGGGAAAGAAGUACAACACAGAGCUGCUAAAACUAUGAAAGACUUAAUGGGUAUACAAUACUGAGAACCAGUUAGAUCCAUCGACUCUGACCCUAAAUGUGGCCCUAAGGUAAACUGGUUGAAGAAAUUGGAUCCUAAAGAUUACAGGUGGAGAAUUUUUAAAGGAUGUCCAUAUUCGAGGGAAGACCAAAGAAUCCCAACUGAAAGAAUUGUGAACUGACUGACAUGAUAGCCACGGAUUGAGCACAAUUUCUUUUUAAAAGGGCUGUCUUGAAGAUUAUGACUCAAACUUUGGAGGAACUAAGGAGGAGAGGAGCCCAUUUCCUUAGUUUCCCUCAAAUGCACUCCCCCAGCAAGUCUAUGUAAUUGUGAUAGACUGGUUAUUUGUGGAAAGAAACAGAAGUUUUAUUGCAUCUGCUUCAAACUUCAUAACGGUCAUCUCUGUUCCAACUGACAUUGGCCAUGCCCGCCUGGGGGUCAGCUGUCCACACUGUCCUCGUGGCCUUCAGCGCUGCUGCACUCUCUCUGACUCCUUCUUUCCUCUCUCUCCACCACCUUGGCCCCCAUCUUGGGGUUGUCACAGGAAGCUCCAGAUCAACCGUGCCCACGGCUGCCAUGUCACAGGAGCACCUUAAGGUUUCUCCUUAAGUGAUAUUUCUGUCUUGACAGGAAUUCUGCUGUUGGAUUAAAUUGUAUUCUCCUUGCCUUAUGAACUAUGAAGACUUUCUUGCAAGAUGUCGCUAAUUUAUUUUUCCUUUAGGCAAUAACUCUGCAGUGUGCCAUGCAUGUCACACACACACACUUUCAGAGAAAAUGUGUUCU